rnacentral:lncRNA from 1 species
AUCGCAGAGUGAGGAAAUGUGCUGGCUUAGUCAGACAUGGCUACAUGCAUCACAUGAUCAACGCUGCCCUACAAUCCCCCGCUGUGUGCAACAAGUCAAGCUGCAGUCAGAGGACAAUAGAUCCAUCGUGGAAUGUCUGACAACACUCCUCAUGUCACUCGGUGCAACAAGGGAAGUCACAAGUUCUACUGGCCUUGGGCAGAACUCUAGGAAGCAUGGACACAGGUAGAGAUACAACAGAACUGACACACACAGAACAUGAACUCACAGAGGCUACAGCAGCAUGCAUAGUUCAAGCCAGACAGAGUCCCAACACUGAGAGGAGGAAGCGGAUGAGAGUCCCACCCCUAACCAAGAAACUAUAACUGGUUCCCACUGGCAAAGGGGAUGGAUCAGCAGCCAUGCCAUAACAACACUGAUGAAAACUACAGAGACUCACUGACUUGGAACUGAGGCCUCCUGAAAAUAGCCAUGUGCUGUGGCUCCGGUUGACUCUCCUCGGUGAGUACAACAGCCUGGAGGACAUAGCAUUGCAGCUAACUUAUCUGAGAAUGAAAAGUGAGACCAGAGUUCCUGGAAAUGAAACCUAGGACCUGACACGGAGCAAGACCAAAGCUUUGCUGGCUGAGAAAAGGCACACUUGAAGACAGUUUCCAAGUACUUCUACAAGUUCAAUAUGGGCUAUUAAAGUGAAAGAUGUUGCACAUGAAACAACUGCAUCCUUGAGCUAUGCUCGGUGUUGGUGGCUUUCCUUGAGGCUUGGGGCCUCAAGACUUCAUCAGCCACUCUGCAACACCCCAUGUGAACUCUUAGCAACAUGCAGUAUUUUGACAUCAGCCUGCUUGAGCUCCUUGAUCCUGAAACACUCUGUUCAUCAGUGUGUCCUCUUGCCAUUUUCAGAUAUUGGGUUACAGUCAACUGUAGGGUACACCUGUAGCCAGCCCCUAAACAGGCACGGCUACAGCAUCCCCUGCAGUCAACAUUUCAGGCUAUUGGCCUCUCAUUUGGUCUCUGAUUUCCUGUCUUUUUUCAGCAUUUCCCACAAACUCAGCUCACAGACAACUUUGACUUUUAGAGAACUAACAGAGAAUCAAUCCAACAUCAAAGUUGUAUCCACCUAUAACUAGCAACCUUCCACACCUCUCCUCAUCUUACUAAUCAUCUGCUUUCACUGUACCUUUUCUUUUCCUAGAAUGUUCAGUUACCUAAUUUGAGUGUGCUUCUGAAACCCUCUCAUCCCAUGCUCCAUGCAACUUUAUCUCGUGGGAAAGCUGUGAGCUUCAUCUUAUAAUAUCCACAAUAGCCUGGC